rnacentral:rRNA from 1 species
UAGGGAAUAUUGGACAAUGGGGGCAACCCUGAUCCAGCCAUGCCGCGUGAGUGAAGAAGGCCCUCGGGUUGUAAAGCUCUUUUGUCCGGAAAGAAAAGCAUUCGGUGAAUACCCGGAUGUUCUGACGGUACCGGAAGAAUAAGCACCGGCUAACUUCGUGCCAGCAGCCGCGGUAAUACGAAGGGUGCAAGCGUUACUCGGAAUUACUGGGCGUAAAGCGUGCGUAGGUGGUUGUUUAAGUCUGAUGUGAAAGCCCUGGGCUCAACCUGGGAAUGGCAUUGGAAACUGGGCAGCUAGAGUGCGGUAGAGGGUAGUGGAAUUCCCGGUGUAGCAGUGAAAUGCGUAGAGAUCGGGAGGAACAUCUGUGGCGAAGGCGACUGCCUGGACCAGCACUGACACUGAGGCACGAAAGCGUGGGGAGCAAGCA